rnacentral:rRNA from 1 species
UACGUAGGGUGCAAGCGUUGUCCGGAAUUAUUGGGCGUAAAGAGCUCGUAGGCGGUCUGUCGCGUCUGCUGUGAAAACCGAGGGCUUAACUCUGGGCGUGCAGUGGGUACGGGCAGGCUAGAGUGCGGUAGGGGAGACUGGAAUUCCUGGUGUAGCGGUGAAAUGCGCAGAUAUCAGGAGGAACACCGGUGGCGAAGGCGGGUCUCUGGGCCGUAACUGACGCUGAGGAGCGAAAGCAUGGGGAGCGAACAGG